GAACUUAAGCAUAUCAAUAAGCGGAGGAAAAGAAACUAACAAGGAUUCCCCUAGUAACUGCGAGUGAAGCGGGAAAAGCUCAAAUUUAAAAUCUGGCGUGCCUCUGGUCGUCCGAGUUGUAGUUUAGAGAAGCGUUUUCUGUGUUGGACCGUGUAUAAGUCUCUUGGAACAGGGCGUCAUAGAGGGUGAGAAUCCCGUCUUUGACACGGACUACCAAUGCUUUGUGAUACGCUCUCAAAGAGUCGAGUUGUUUGGGAAUGCAGCUCAAAAUGGGUGGUAAAUUCCAUCUAAAGCUAAAUAUAGGCGAGAGACCGAUAGCGAACAAGUACCGUGAGGGAAAGAUGAAAAGCACUUUGGAAAGAGAGUUAAACAGUACGUGAAAUUGCUGAAAGGGAAACGCUUGAAGUCAGUCACGUCUGCCAGGACUCAGCCUUGCUUCUGCUUGGUGUACUUUCUGGUUGGAUGGGCCAACAUCGAUUUCGACCGUUGGAGAAAGGCUUUGGGAAUGUGGCACCUUCGGGUGUGUUGUAGCCCUUUGUCGUAUACAAUGGUUGGGAUCGAGGACUGCAGCAUGCCUUCAUGGCCGGGGUUCGCCCACGUACAUGCUUAGGAUGUUGGCAUAAUGGCUUUAAGCGACCCGUCUUGAAACACGGACCAAGGAGUCUAACAUGCCUGCGAGUGUUUGGGUGGAAAACCCAUGCGCGUAAUGAAAGUGAUAGCUGAGAUCCUCUCAUCAGGAGCAUCAGCGCCUGGACUUGAUCUACGGAGACGGUUCUACGGUAGAGCAUGUAUGUUGGGACCCGAAA
rnacentral:rRNA from 1 species